rnacentral:rRNA from 1 species
AACGAACGCUGGCGGCAUGCCUAACACAUGCAAGUCGAACGAGACCUUCGGGUCUAGUGGCGCACGGGUGCGUAACGCGUGGGAAUCUGCCCUUGGGUUCGGAAUAACAGUUGGAAACGACUGCUAAUACCGGAUGAUGACGUAAGUCCAAAGAUUUAUCGCCCAAGGAUGAGCCCGCGUAGGAUUAGCUAGUUGGUGAGGUAAAGGCUCACCAAGGCGACGAUCCUUAGCUGGUCUGAGAGGAUGAUCAGCCACACUGGGACUGAGACACGGCCCAGAACCAUAGGGGAGGGAGGAGUGGGGAAUAUUGGACAAGGGGCGAAAGCCUGAACCAGAAAGGCCGGGGGGGUGAAGAAGGCCUUAGGGUUGAAAAGCUCUUUUACCCGGGAGGAUAAUGACAGUACCGGGAGAAUAAGCCCCGGCUAACCCCGU